rnacentral:lncRNA from 1 species
AUGGGUCUGCUGGAGACCGGCGUAAUUUUGAUCCUUACCUCUCCGGGCCUGUGUCAAUUCUCCUGGAACUAUUUCUACCAGCACAAGUGUGGCUGUUUGGCUCCAAGUUCACAGCAGACUCAGCUGAAGCUUCUGUCAAAUUUAGGUCAUUGCCUGACGCGUCACCUUCGUCUCGACCCAGGCCCUCCUCCAGGCUGUCCCCAGCUCCUUGCACAGCUGCCCCUUCUCACCUUCCAGGACUCUGUCAGGUGUCACGUCCACAGGGGCCCCCGACUCCCCUGUCCACGGUCACCCCCUCCACCCAGGCCCCUCCCAGCAGGCCUCUGUUUACCCUUCUGGAUACCACUCACCACCAUCGGAAGUGACCCCGAGGGCAUGUUUCCUUGGCGUCAUCUCCCUCGCCCCCUCUUGAGNCUCCAAGGCCUCAGGAACCCACCUGUCCUGCUAAGCCCCGUGUGCCCUGCACCUGCUGCAGCACCUCACCCAGAAGCACUGGCCGGCUGGAAUUUAGACCAGGUGGCUUGGCCACCUGGAUGAACACAACACCCCAGGAAGAGUAGGACAAGAAGAGGGGCAAGGCUUGGUCCCCAACUCCUUGGAGUUCCAGGUAGGGGUGGAGGAAGGUGGUGUGGAGGGCGGGCAGGGCACUGUACCGGGUCGUGUAUUUGGUCUCCACACCUCCUCUGUCCGUCAGGAGUGGAGGCGCUCCUCUCUCCUCCCAUGCGACCUCCCCUGCCGCCCGCCCCAGGGUGACAGCCCCAGGAUGGGAGCUUGUCC